UGCCCUAGUAACGGCGAGUGAAGCGGCAACAGCUCAAAUUUGAAAUCUGGCACCCUUCUGGGAGUCCGAGUUGUAAUUUGAAGAGGAUGCUUUUGGCAAGGUGCCUUCCGAGUUCCCUGGAACGGGACGCCACAGAGGGUGAGAGCCCCGUAUGGUCGGACGCCGAGCCUCUGUAAAGCUCCUUCGACGAGUCGAGUAGUUUGGGAAUGCUGCUCAAAAUGGGAGGUAAACCCCUUCUAAAGCUAAAUACUGGCCAGAGACCGAUAGCGCACAAGUAGAGUGAUCGAAAGAUGAAAAGCACUUUGAAAAGAGAGUUAAACAGCACGUGAAAUUGUUGAAAGGGAAGCGCUUGCGACCAGACUUGUGCCCGCCGAGUCGGCCGCCUCUCGUAGGCUGGCAAAUUUUGGCGGGCCCAGGCCAGCAUCAGUUCGCUGUAGGGGGAGAAAGGCGGCGGGAAUGUGGCUCUUCGGAGUGUUAUAGCCCACCGCAUAAUACCCCUCGGCGGACUGAGGACCGCGCAUCUGCAAGGAUGCUGGCGUAAUGGUUGUCAGCGACCCGUCUUGAAACACGGACCAAGGAGUCGUCCUAAUAUGCGAGUGUUCGGGUGUAAAACCCCUGCGCGAAAUGAAAGUGAACGGAGGUGAGAGCUUCGGCGCAUCAUCGACCGAUCCUGAUGUUCUCGGAUGGAUUUGAGUAGGAGCAUAUUGGGCCGGACCCGAAAGAAGGUGAACUAUGCCUGUAUAGGGUAAAGCCAGAGGAAACUCUGGUGGAGGCUCGCAGCGGUUCUGACGUGCAAAUCGAUCGUCAAAUAUGGGCAUGGGGGCGAAAGACUAAUC
rnacentral:rRNA from 1 species